rnacentral:rRNA from 1 species
UGGGCAACCUGCCCCAGACACAGGGAUAACCCCGGGAAACCGGGGCUAAUACCGGAUACGAGUCCGAGCGGCAUCACACGGACUGGAAAGUUUUUCGGCUAAGGAUGGGCUCGCGGCCUAUCAGCUUGUUGGUGGGGUAAUGGCCCACCAAGGCGACGACGGGUAGCCGGCCUGAGAGGGUGACCGGCCACACUGGGACUGAGACACGGCCCAGACUCCUACGGGAGGCA